UCGAAAUACAUCAAUGGGUAGAUAAUACAGAUAAGAGAUCGUCAACAUUCUAGAAAAAAGGAUUAUCUCAAGGAUGAAGGGUAAACCGAACUUCUACUGCUUAUAAAAUUUAAGGAAAACAGUGAAAUUAAAGGUACUUUUUGGUUUUAAACUAACUUUGCUGUCUUUUCCAUGUCAAGUUUGGCCACACCUAUCAUUUAGCAAGUAACAAUCUAUCAUAACUGCAACAACCUUCACUGCGAUUUCAGAGCAAAGAAUCUCAAAGGAAUCUACCUGACCUGUCUGACAGGAUCUUAACAGGAUUAAUCUUGUAUCUUUCUAACUAGAACUUACAACCAUUGCUGGCAUUCCCAUCUAGACCUACCUAAACUGUGGAAUUGCUACCAUUUGAUGUCAUCAAUCUGCUCAUGUAGUCGGACAAAGG